rnacentral:rRNA from 1 species
GACGAACGCUGGCGGCGUGCCUAAUACAUGCAAGUAGAACGAGUGGCGGACGGGUGAGUAAUGUCUGGGAAACUGCCCGAUGGAGGGGGAUAACUACUGGAAACGGUAGCUAAUACCGCAUACCAUCGGAUGUGCCCAGAUGGGAUUAGCUAGUAGGUGGGGUAACGGCUCACCUAGGCGACGAUCCCUAGCUGGUCUGAGAGGAUGACCAGCCACCCUGGAACGGAGACGCGGUCCAGACUCCUACGGUAGGCCGCAGUGGGGAAUAUUGGGCAAUUGGCGCAAGCAUGGUGCAGCCAGGCGGCGUGUAUGAAGAAGGCCUUCGGGUUGUAAAGUACUUUCACCGAGGAGGCGUUACUCGCAGAAGAAGCACCGGCUAACUCCGUGCCAGCAGCCGCGGUAAUAC